rnacentral:misc_RNA from 1 species
CGAAAAUUCUCGCCAUCGAAAGUCAGUUCAACCAAAGUAAUCAAAAACUCUCUUCUUCGAGUCUUCAAAAUCCCCAAACAAAUAGAAAAUCUGAAGAAUCACAAAUCUCCGUAAUUAGUAGGUAAUUAAAUAGCGAAUCGCUGUCCUGGUUUGCUCGAGGAGUAACGACGUCGUUGUAUCGCGAUAUGGCUGUUGCAUCUGAGGAAACCACUAACAUAUGCAGCCACUGGUAAAUUAUAAAUUUUAUGGACUCUUCCUCUUCUUGUUAUGUUGUGAUUUUCCUAAUUCUUCCUUUCUUUUUGAAUAAAAAAAAGAAAGUGUUUUGGGCGUUAAUUAUAUGCUGUGCCUUGUUGAUCUUAGCUGUUUCUUCAGAUUUUAUUGAAAUUAUUUUGUUAGAUUAGGUCAUAACUGUAAUUGAAUAUAUACACAC